UUGUGAGCUCGAUGAGUAGGGCGGGACACGUGGUAUCCUGUCUGAAUAUGGGGGGACCAUCCUCCAAGGCUAAAUACUCCUGACUGACCGAUAGUGAACCAGUACCGUGAGGGAAAGGCGAAAAGAACCCCGGCGAGGGGAGUGAAAAAGAACCUGAAACCGUGUACGUACAAGCAGUGGGAGCCUCUUAAUGGGGUGACUGCGUACCUUUUGUAUAAUGGGUCAGCGACUUAUAUUCUGUAGCAAGGUUAACCGAAUAGGGGAGCCGAAGGGAAACCGAGUCUUAACUGGGCGUUAAGUUGCAGGGUAUAGACCCGAAACCCGGUGAUCUAGCCAUGGGCAGGUUGAAGGUUGGGUAACACUAACUGGAGGACCGAACCGACUAAUGUUGAAAAAUUAGCGGAUGACUUGUGGCUGGGGGUGAAAGGCCAAUCAAACCGGGAGAUAGCUGGUUCUCCCCGAAAGCUAUUUAGGUAGCGCCUCGUGAAUUCAUCUCCGGGGGUAGAGCACUGUUUCGGCAAGGGGGUCAUCCCGACUUACCAACCCGAUGCAAACUGCGAAUACCGGAGAAUGUUAUCACGGGAGACACACGGCGGGUGCUAACGUCCGUCGUGAAGAGGGAAACAACCCAGACCGCCAGCUAAGGUCCCAAAGUCAUGGUUAAGUGGGAAACGAUGUGGGAAGGCCCAGACAGCCAGGAUGUUGGCUUAGAAGCAGCCAUCAUUUAAAGAAAGCGUAAUAGCUCACUGGUCGAGUCGGCCUGCGCGGAAGAUGUAACGGGGCUAAACCAUGCACCGAAGCUGCGGCAGCGACACUAUGUGUUGUUGGGUAGGGGAGCGUUCUGUAAGCCUGUGAAGGUGGCCUGUGAGGGUUGCUGGAGGUAUCAGAAGUGCGAAUGCUGACAUAAGUAACGAUAAAGCGGGUGAAAAGCCCGCUCGCCGGAAGACCAAGGGUUCCUGUCCAACGUUAAUCGGGGCAGGGUGAGUCGACCCCUAAGGCGAGGCCGAAAGGCGUAGUCGAUGGGAAACAGGUUAAUAUUCCUGUACUUGGUGUUACUGCGAAGGGGGGACGGAGAAGGCUAUGUUGGCCGGGCGACGGUUGUCCCGGUUUAAGCGUGUAGGCUGGUUUUCCAGGCAAAUCCGGAAAACCAAGGCUGAGGCGUGAUGACGAGGCACUACGGUGCUGAAGCGACAAAUGCCCUGCUUCCAGGAAAAGCCUCUAAGCAUCAGGUAACAUCAAAUCGUACCCCAAACCGACACAGGUGGUCAGGUAGAGAAUACCAAGGCGCUUGAGAGAACUCGGGUGAAGGAACUAGGCAAAAUGGUGCCGUAACUUCGGGAGAAGGCACGCUGAUAUGUAGGUGAAGCGACUUGCUCGUGGAGCUGAAAUCAGUCGAAGAUACCAGCUGGCUGCAACUGUUUAUUAAAAACACAGCACUGUGCAAACACGAAAGUGGACGUAUACGGUGUGACGCCUGCCCGGUGCCGGAAGGUUAAUUGAUGGGGUUAGCGGUAACGCGAAGCUCUUGAUCGAAGCCCCGGUAAACGGCGGCCGUAACUAUAACGGUCCUAAGGUAGCGAAAUUCCUUGUCGGGUAAGUUCCGACCUGCACGAAUGGCGUAAUGAUGGCCAGGCUGUCUCCACCCGAGACUCAGUGAAAUUGAACUCGCUGUGAAGAUGCAGUGUACCCGCGGCAAGACGGAAAGACCCCGUGAACCUUUACUAUAGCUUGACACUGAACAUUGAGCCUUGAUGUGUAGGAUAGGUGGGAGGCUUUGAAGUGUGGACGCCAGUCUGCAUGGAGCCGACCUUGAAAUACCACCCUUUAAUGUUUGAUGUUCUAACGUUGGCCCCUAAUCGGGGUUGCGGACAGUGUCUGGUGGGUAGUUUGACUGGGGCGGUCUCCUCCUAAAGAGUAACGGAGGAGCACGAAGGUUGGCUAAUCCUGGUCGGACAUCAGGAGGUUAGUGCAAUGGCAUAAGCCAGCUUGACUGCGAGCGUGACGGCGCGAGCAGGUGCGAAAGCAGGUCAUAGUGAUCCGGUGGUUCUGAAUGGAAGGGCCAUCGCUCAACGGAUAAAAGGUACUCCGGGGAUAACAGGCUGAUACCGCCCAAGAGUUCAUAUCGACGGCGGUGUUUGGCACCUCGAUGUCGGCUCAUCACAUCCUGGGGCUGAAGUAGGUCCCAAGGGUAUGGCUGUUCGCCAUUUAAAGUGGUACGCGAGCUGGGUUUAGAACGUCGUGAGACAGUUCGGUCCCUAUCUGCCGUGGGCGCUGGAGAACUGAGGGGGGCUGCUCCUAGUACGAGAGGACCGGAGUGGACGCAUCACUGGUGUUCGGGUUGUCAUGCCAAUGGCACUGCCCGGUAGCUAAAUGCGGAAGAGAUAAGUGCUGAAAGCAUCUAAGCACGAAACUUGCCCCGAGAUGAGUUCUCCCUGACUCCUUGAGAGUCCUGAAGGAACGUUGAAGACGACGACGUUGAUAGGCCGGGUGUGUAAGCGCAGCGAUGCGUUGAGCUAACCGGUACUAAUGAACCGUGAGGCUUAACCUUACAACGCCGAAG
rnacentral:rRNA from 1 species